UGGGGAAUUUUGGACAAUGGGGGAAACCCUGAUCCAGCCAUCCCGCGUGUGCGAUGAAGGCCUUCGGGUUGUAAAGCACUUUUGGCAGGAAAGAAACGUCGCGGGUUAAUACCCCGCGGAACUGACGGUACCUGCAGAAUAAGCACCGGCUAACUACGUGCCAGCAGCCGCGGUAAUGCGUAGGGUGCAAGCGUUAAUCGGAAUUACUGGGGCGUAAAGCGUGCGCAGGCGGUUCGGAAAGAAAGAUGUGAAAUCCCAGAGCUUAACUUUGGAACUGCAUUUUUAAACUACCGGGCUAGAGUGUGUCAGAGGGAAGUGGAAUUCCGCGUGUAGCAGUGAAAUGCGUAGAUAUGCGGAGGAACACCGAUGGCGAAGGCAGCCUCCUGGGAUAACACUGACGCUCAUGCACGAAAGCGUGGGGAGCAAACAGGAUUAAAUACCCUGGUAGUCCACGCCCUAAAACGAUGUCAACUAGCUGUUGGGGUCUUCGGACCUUGGUAGCGCAGCUAACGCGUGAAGUUGACCGCCUGGGGAGUACGGUCGCAAGAUU
rnacentral:rRNA from 1 species